rnacentral:rRNA from 1 species
UACCAGCACCCCGAGUGGUCGGGACGUUUAUUGGGCCUAAAGCAUCCGUAGCCGGUUCUACAAGUCUUCCGUUAAAUCCAACUGCUUAACGGAUGGGCUGCGGGGGAUACCGCAGAGCUAGGAGGCGGGAGAGGCAAACGGUACUCAGUGGGUAGGGGUAAAAUCCAUUGAUCUACUGAAGACCACCAGUGGCGAAGGCGGUUUGCCAGAACGCGCUCGACGGUGAGGGAUGAAAGCUGGGGGAGCAAACCGG